UAUGUUUGUUUGAAAUACGGUCCGUUCUCUAAUUCAUCUUAUCCAAACUCCUCCUUUUCCAGCGACGGCGGAGCAUGGGCAGGUGACGGGCAGCGCCCUUGUCGUCGGACGGCUACAACCGCGGUGGAGGAGAAGGCGGAUGCCGUGGGUGCGUGCUUGGGUAAGGGAGUCCACCCUUGCGUGCUUGUGGGCGUUCAUGGAGGAUGGAAGGGGGGUCAACUUCCUGUGGGUGCGCCAGCUGUGCUCGUGGGCGUUCAUGGAGGAUGGAAGGAAAUUGGAAACCGGCCCUGUCCUUCUCUAACACAAAUUGAUGGAGCGCCCGACCCGGAUUUGAUUGGCUGCUAUUAGUAAGGGUCCUCGGCCGGAAUCUCCAUUAGGUCGUGCCUCGGGACCAUAAUCUCCAUCAUCCCGUCGAAAUUACAAUUUUUGACCAAACGUCCAAUGUCACCGCCGAGUUCGCCGGAGGAAAAAGCGCCGAGUUCGCCGGAGGAACAAGAACAUCCGUCGAGCCGUGCAAUGUCUCCUAUGGCGGCUACACGAGAGUUAACAAGUAGCUCUGCAGAAUAGAUAUGCUAGCUGCACCUAGCAAACCAGGAUUAGGAGGUGUAUUCAAGUGCAACAUAUGCAUUGAUCAACAAAGAAACAUGUGUGUUUCUUAGCGUGUACUAAAUAGCUUUUCUCUCUGUAGUUUCUGGGGUUGUCCAACAUGUGUUUCUCAGAUUAAUGCCUUCAACACCCCUCUUUCCACACGCAUGCAUGUAGUAGCAGAUUGCCUGAUCUGUUGGCCUAAAUAUUCUCUUUGCCGUGCUGUUAUUAUUAGUUCAGACUUGCAGACCCAUGUUUUUUGCUCAAAUCAAUCUGUCAAAACUCCAUUACAGUUGCACAAGAUGACAAGACCUGAUAUGCAAAUGUUUGCGUGGAGCUAACUUCUCUGGGCAUGCGGCCAGUGUGUAUGUGCAUAUUUUUCAGUAGAAUUAAGUGCCUGGUGCCACUUGAAAGAAUAAAAUAAUGAUCAGCUAUUUUUUGUUACAUUAUUACGAUUUAGUCAACAUUGAUGUCCGUCUGCAAAAAUCUUAUUUUGAUCUGGAGUUGCAAAGAUUUUUUACAAGCAUUUGUAGAAUGGGAUGCGCCGCCGCCACCGCCAGCAUGGUCCCAACAGCAGCCGCGAGUCUCCACGAUCGGCGUCGCCGUCCGUCUGUGCCCUGAGCUCGACGGUUCUCGGGCCGACAAGCGUUUGUUCGUGUCGCCGCUAGUGUUAUGCGUUGCUCACCACCGCCCCAGAUCGCUGUCGUGCGUCAUCGCCGCCCCAAGCUCCAUGAGCUACUUGAAGAGGGAGUGCUUGGCCUGCUUCAUGUAUUGUCUCAAAACAACUUCCCAUGCCAUAUUUCUGUGCUUCAUGUAUUGUCUGAAUUGAGAGUUUCAAGGAUCCCAAAUGUUCCAAAGGAUGAGCAAAGUCAUGAAACGCUUCGAAUUGAUGAUUUCCUGCCAGUUUGGAGUAUGCCAGUACCACACCAAACAACUUUUGUUGUAGGACACUGAAUAAAUAGACGAGAGCAAGUUUCUGUGGCUUGGAGACACAUGGGGCAGAUGUCUGAAUCAAGUAUGGUCUUGUGUAAAUUUCGAAAUGUGUUCAUUCUUCCGUUAUGCAGUAGCCAUCCAAAAAGAAUACAUUGUUGGGCACCCUUGAGGACCAAACCAGAGAGAGACUGGGAUCAUCAAUUCCUUGGUAUCUCUAUCCCCAACCAAACUAUGGAUAAUCCAACCUUCGGUCAGGUUCACUAUCUUCAAUCUUAGUGCUGCAUAUUCCUAUUUGAAUGAUACUUGGUGCAUAAAAUUAGUGAUUCAGAAAAUUCAUUUUUUUCUUUGUUACGAACAAAUUUGUAACUCUCCCAGAUAGAAGAUUACCACUAAAAGAGAGCAACUAUUAGUCUUGGUAGGUGAAGUCAGAUUGUGUACUGGCAUUGUUGUAAUCUCUGUAUCCUAUUUCUUGCCACUGUUUGUGUUAUUUUGCUUACACAGAAUGGCCAUGUUUAUCUUAAAUUUCCUCUGUCAAUUGCCUUUAAACUAACAAAUCAGGGUAAUAAAUAGAAUGUGUUUGUUCCAUUACACAAAACUGUACCAUUAUCUACUAUUGAAUAGUUGGAUCAUAAACUUUUCAUAAUCUUUUGUUGUAGAAGAGCAAUGUUCUACCUACUUAUAACUAUAUGUUAUUCUUGAGUUGUUAUUUGUAGAGUUAACUACCCAUAUCUUUUAUAACUAUACAUUAUUUGCUUAUAACUAUACAUUAUUUGCUUAUACUUGCCAGUAGUGUAGCUUUCUGCUGGACCAUAUAUCAUGCCAGGAGAAGUUUCAGUGACCAAUGGAAGCUUUGAUGUAUUCUUUUGAAUCAAAAGUAAUCGUCUAUUACCCAUGUCAGGUUUCGACUCAAAUUGUGGUGCUUCUGUUCUAUGCAUUUUUAUUUUCUUACUGAUGCUAUGUUCUGGCAUUCCUUAUCUUUUAUGCUGAUGUGUGUCUUAGUGCUAAUAAGACCUAUUUUUUUUCCAAUGGUAAAUCCACCUUUUCCCCAUCAUGUGACUUAAAACUAACCUGUUUCGGUGUAGUUUUUCUUCUCUUUCUUUUACUGUAACAUAGACCAUGCUCACAUGGUCGCAACUUGUAAACAGAGAUGGAAACGUGCAUCCUGAUCUCUCAAGCAUGCAAUAUUUUUCCAGGGUGACAAUUUUUUACAUGGCUUUAUAUCUGAAGACACCUUCUGGUUGGCUCUAUUUGUUGUAUAUAAGUUAUAUCUGAGUAUUCCUUUGGAUGCUUAUACCA